rnacentral:rRNA from 1 species
AGUGAACGCUGGCGGUAGGCCUAACACAUGCAAGUCGAACGGCAGCACAGUAAGAGCUUGCUCUUACGGGUGGCGAGUGGCGGACGGGUGAGGAAUACAUCGGAAUCUACUUUUUCGUGGGGGAUAACGUAGGGAAACUUACGCUAAUACCGCAUACGACCUACGGGUGAAAGCAGGGGAUCUUCGGACCUUGCGCGAUUGAAUGAGCCGAUGUCGGAUUAGCUAGUUGGCGGGGUAAAGGCCCACCAAGGCGACGAUCCGUAGCUGGUCUGAGAGGAUGAUCAGCCACACGGGAACUGAGACACGGUCCAGACUCCUACGGGAGGCAGCAGUGGGGAAUAUUGGACAAUGGGCGCAAGCCUGAUCCAGCCAUACCGCGUGGGUGAAGAAGGCCUUCGGGUUGUAAAGCCCUUUUGUUGGGAAAGAAAAGCAGCAGGUUAAUACCCCGCUGUUCUGACGGUACCCAAAGAAUAGCACCGGCUAACUUCGUG